CGUAACGCCCCAUAAACAUCAGUGUAGGACAUCCCGAUUUUUAUCUACCAGGAGGCUCUGCUGGCUGGAACCUCUGGACACGGCAAUUACAGGUGAGCCUCGGAGGACAAGAUCCUCUUGCAGGUGAGGCGUAGAAAAAUGAAUGCUAAGAGCCUCCCGGCGGACUGCUGGGUCCAGCCUUUGGGAAUGGGAAUUGGAUUUAUUCCAGAGUCUCGGUAAACAGGAAUACCCGUUCACGCUGGCAGGGUCCCAUCUCUUCUCCCCAACACCCAGCAGAGGGCAGGCGAUCAGCAGAGGCUCCGGGAGCUAAAGGGAUCGCGAGGGAGGGCGGGAACGAGUGAGUGAGGGAAUGAAUGAGAGAAUGAGUGAGCGAGCGGUAAUGAGGAGGAAAGAAAUGAAGGAAGUGGAUGGAAGGGAUGAGUGAGGGAGGGAAUUUGGGAGGGAGGAAACGAGAGAAAGAAGGAGGAAACAGGUUUACAGGGCGCGACCCUUCCCAAAAGGCAUCGCUUCAUUUAUUCACUCAUUCAUUCGUUCAGCCCCGCCAGGUGCCAGAACUAUGCCCGGUGCAGAGGCGCACGGUCACCCCGGCGGCCGCAGCUCUCCUGGGCUGGGCCGAGGCCAGAGCCGCAUCCGCGGAAGAGUCGCCCGGGGCGGCGCCCCCCGCUCCAGUCCCCCAGCGAGGCGCCCCCGCCCCCCGCCUCCUUCCGCCCCCGCCCGGCGCCUGCGCGGCGCGGCCACGUGACUCGCCAAGGCCCCGCCCCGCGGCCGCCCGCCCGCCCCGCUCCCGCCUCCGGCGAGUGCGGCCUCGGCUUGCGGCGGCACCAGCCUCAGUUUCCUCAGCAGCCCGCAGGCUGCCGCUGAGAGGGUCCAACCUCGCCACCUGCGCGGUUUCCAGAGAGAAGCCGGAGAUCGCGAUGUCAUUGCAGAAUUUCCGCGUCCCUGGGCGUCGGGCGCGGGUUCUCCUUGCAGUCCUGGGCGGCCCGGAGUCGCGGAGUCGCCGCCGGUCGGUCGCCUGGUCGCCAUCACCUUAUGCCUGGAGUCCUUUUCGCGUCGGGCCUCUGUGGGGCCGGGCCUGGGCGGCAGGUUUGGCGCGCCCGAUGCCCCAACUCAGCUUUCUGGAAGACUCAUUCCAGAGCGCAUCCGAGUUGGCACCCCAAUGAUGGCUCCCCAUUCUGGAAAUCAGUACCUACUCCGUCCUCUCCUCUUCCCAACAGUCUCUCUUCCUUUUGUUGCAGUACCUCGCUUCAUGCUGCCAAGGAUUGGGGUUUGUUGAGGGCGGACACUUUUGGGGCGCUUCAGAGGACUGAGGGGUGCCUGCCCAGUAAAUGGUAUUAAGUUGAAAAUUAAAAAAUACUUUUGAUUCUGUCACCCAUGAGUUCAUAAAAAAUUAUUUUACGUCCUUCAGUUUGUACCUGCUUGGGACAUAAAGCUUCCUUCCUGCGGCCUUCAAAAGCUUUGAACAACAUGGAACGGAGGGGCCUUCCUUGUGACGAGUUGAAUCAGAAAUGUACGGAGCGGGAGGGAACUUAAUCUAGGGAAGGACCUCGUAAUAGAGUAAUCCCUGUAAAAUGAAUAGGAGACAGAAGAUGUCACCGAGUGAGCUCCCAAGAGCGUCCUUUAUUUCAGCAAAAUAGGCAGGGAAAGGUAUUUAAAAGAAGUGUUGCAUUUGACUUAAUUUUUAAUUUUUUAAAUUUUUGUCAAUUACCGAAACAUAGUUGCACUAUGAAAUGCUGUUUUUCAUCUAAGUCAGCAAAGAGUGAAAAAGAAAUGUCAUGGGCAGCUCCGGUGGCGCAGCGGUUUAGCGCCGCCUGCAGUCCAGGGCCUGAUCCGGGAGACCCGGGAUCGAGUCCCGAGUCAUGUUUCCUGCAUAGAGCCUGAUUCUCCCAAUGCCUGUGUCUGUGCCUCUCUUUGUGUCUCUCAUGAAUAAAUAAAUAAAAUCUUAAAAAAAAAUAAAGAAAAAGAAAUGGUAUUGGUCAGCUAGACAGUGGUUGGAACCAGGUUCUCAUACUUUGCUGGUGGAAGAAUAAAUUAGUACAAUCUCUAUGGAGGGCAGUUUGGCAAUAUGCAUUCAAAUGACAAAUAUACAUUAAAAUUAACAUGGGCCAGCAGUUCUGUAUCUAGAAAAUUUUCCUCAGAUAACUGCUGUAUAUGUGGCAUAGCCACAUAAAUGACUUUCAGUCUGUAACUGCUAAGGCAAACAAUUGGAGGAAACCCUGAUGUCUGUCUGAAAGGAUUGGUUAAAUAACAUGUGGUUAUGGAUACAAUGGACUGUGGGAGGGAUAUUAAGUUUUCAUAUGCAAAAGUUAAGGAAGGGGGGAACUGGUGUAGAUUUACAGAUUUACCUUUGAAUCUAUAGAUGCCCUCUGACAGGGAAGGUCGAAUAGUAGUUUUCUUCUGGGAGAGGAUCUGAUUGGGGUCUAAGUGGGAGGAAAAUUUAAGUCUCAGUGCCUUUCUGCGCCUUUUGAAUUUGAAUGUGAACAUAUUAAAAGAUAAGUUUGAGGGUUUAUUUUUUAAAUAUUUCAUACUAACAGGAAAGUUAGUCUUAUUGGAUCCUAAUGUUUUGUCUUUGUUUUUGUUUGUUUGUUUGUUUUAAAGGAAUAAAACAUUAUCUUUUUCCUUCCUGGAGAAAAAUCAUGAUCCUGAAGUUCUUUAAUGUGUCUAUGCUCUGUUAUAUUGUAACACCUGUCUAAAAACAAAAGUGGAUGGCAUGAUUUCAAACUUUGUGUACCACAUAUAUUCUUUAGUGUGCUCCCCCCCCCCAUGGCUUUGAGUUUUCUCCAUGUUGAUGACUAUAGCUUGAGUUCUAGUUUCCCCAUUUUAACUGUUGUCUAGUACUCUUGUUGGCUUACUUUGCUGCAGAGUCCAGUCCUCUGAGGAUGGACAUUUUUGGUCAUGGCCAAUGCUUGCCUUAUGAACAAGGCUGUGAUGCAUGGUCUUGAAUGUGUUGCACUCCAAGCUAUGCUCCUUCAGAGCAGGGAAUUGGUUCAUUUUCUUCACGUGGCCCUCGAGACCUACCUUAGUUCCUUAAAUUGUGCUUGAUAAAUAUGCUUUGCUUACCCAAGGAGGCAGUCUUCUCCUACUGUAUUCUGUAUUUGUAAUAAAUGUAGCUGCCAUGGAUCCCUUCCCAAAGGGACAGAAAUGCUAAUGUGCAGUGGGGACCCACUGAAGAUGGAUGUCUGUUGGAACAGUCAGUCCCUGCUGCCAGCCUUAGAGAAAGAGGUCUUCUUGACU
rnacentral:lncRNA from 1 species